GGGCCCGCACAAGCGGUGGAGCAUGUGGCUUAAUUCGAGGCAACGCGAAGAACCUUACCUGGUCUUGACAUGCCCGUCAUAGUUUUCCGAAAGGAAUUCGUCAGUUCGGCUGGACGGUGCACAGGUGCUGCAUGGCUGUCGUCAGCUCGUGUCGUGAGAUGUUCGGUUAAGUCCGGCAACGAGCGCAACCCUCGUUCCUAGUUGCCAGCGGGUAAUGCCGGGGACUCUAGGAAGACAAACCUCGUGUAGAGGUGGGAAGGUGGGGACGACGUCAAGUCAGUAUGGCCCUUACGACCAGGGCUGCACACGUGCUACAAUGCCCAGCACAAUGGGAUGCAACGCCGCGAGGUUGAGCAAAUCCACAAAACUGGGCCCAGUUCGGAUUGGAGUCUGCAACUCGACUCCAUGAAGUUGGAAUCGCUAGUAAUGG
rnacentral:rRNA from 1 species